UACGGGGGGAGCAAGCGUUGUUCGGAUUUACUGGGCGUAAAGGGCGCGUAGGCGGCCACCGCAAGUCACUUGUGAAAUCUCCGGGCUUAACCCGGAAAGGUCAACUGAUACUGCGGGGCUAGAGUGCAGAAGGGGCAACUGGAAUUCUCGGUGUAGCGGUGAAAUGCGUAGAUAUCGAGAGGAACGCCUGCGGCGAAGGCGGGUUGCUGGGCUGACACUGACGCUGAGGCGCGAAAGCCAGGGGAGCGAACGGG
rnacentral:rRNA from 1 species